rnacentral:rRNA from 1 species
GAUGAACGCUGGCGGCGUGCCUAAUACAUGCAAGUCGAGCGAACAGACGAGGAGCUUGCUCCUCUGACGUUAGCGGCGGAUGGGUGAGUAACACGUGGAUAACCUACCUAUAAGACUGGGAUAACUUCGGGAAACCGGAGCUAAUACCGGAUAAUAUAUUGAACCGCAUGGUUCAAUAGUGAAAGACGGUUUUGCUGUCACUUAUAGAUGGAUCCGCGCCGCAUUAGCUAGUUGGUAAGGUAACGGCUUACCAAGGCAACGAUGCGUAGCCGACCUGAGAGGGUGAUCGGCCACACUGGAGCUGAGACACGGUCCAGACUCCUACGGGAGGCAGCAGUAGGGAAUCUUCCGCAAUGGGCGAAAGCCUGACGGAGCAACGCCGCGUGAGUGAUGAAGGUCUUCGGAUCGUAAAACUCUGUUAUUAGGGAAGAACAAAUGUGUAAGUAACUAUGCACGUCUUGACGGUACCUAAUCAGAAAGCCACGGCUAACUACGUG